rnacentral:lncRNA from 1 species
UUCAAAUUCAAACUCAUUUUCUUCCCUUUUUAUUAUUCUCUCCUCUUCUUUUUUUCUUUUCUCCACUCUCCAAAUUCAAACGACGUCGCACAACCAUGCAAUCUCCGAUCAAGCUCCGAUCACGAUCUGGCCGUACACCUCUUCAGCCUAUAAACUCCGACAACCACCACUCUUCUCCACUAAACCCCAAACUCUCAAUAUCCUCUCACAAGGACAAGCCUCCAAUUGCUACAGCCACUCUUCCCGAUUCAACCCUAGCGGAGGAGUUGGUAGCGAUAAAGAAAAGAAUAGAGAGGUUGAGAAUUGAUAGAGAGAAAACUGAGAAGCUAUUGAAUGAAAGGGAAAUGAUACUUAAUCAGAAGAUGAAUGAUUUGGAACAAAGAGGAGAGAUUCAGAAAGUGAUGGAGAUACAGGUUGAUCGACUUUUUCGAUUGAAGGAACUUAAGUUCAGAUGCAUGAGAGUUUCUCCGAUGAGAACGCUGAGGGAGAAGGAACAUCAAAAGAUCGUUAACCAAUCGCCUGAACCAUCUAAGGUGACAAGUGGGGAAACUGUGGUGGCAUCUGAAUCAGAAUCUGAAUGCAGAGAGGAAUGUGAAAUUCAGAGUCCAGGCUCAGCUUGUUCAAAAACUGAUACACACAAAUAUUGACAAAAUCUGAUAAUUAAGGUUCUUACAAGUUUUUAUACAUAAUAUCUUGUUAUGAAUUUAUCCCCCUUAAGUUAUUUCUCUGAAAUUCAAAUUGCAGCUUUUGAUAAUUACAACAUUUUUAGGAAUAGAGAAAAUGAGUCAUCACAUUUUAGAUUGCAUAAAGAGUUUCCAAUUCUGUUGUUGUUUCACUCUUUUCUAUGUCUAGUUUCAGCUCUUGCUCAACCAUCACACUGAGUAGAUAUAUAUGAUAUAUGUAUUAAGAAUUCACUUGAAAUUUGUUCUUAAGGCAAUAUUUCAGAUUCAAG